UUACGGCCACAUCACGUUGAAACAUUGGUUCCCAUACGGUCACCAAAGUUAAGCAACGUUGAACCUAGUCAGUACCUAUGGGUGACCGCUUGGGAAUACCAU